rnacentral:rRNA from 1 species
UACGUAGGGGGCUAGCGUUGUCCGGAAUCAUUGGGCGUAAAGCGCGUGUAGGCGGCCCGGUAAGUCCGCUGUGAAAGUCGGGGGCUCAACCCUCGAAAGCCGGUGGAUACUGUCGGGCUCGAGUGCGGAAGAGGCGAGUGGAAUUCCUGGUGUAGCGGUGAAAUGCGCAGAUAUCAGGAGGAACACCGAUUGCGAAGGCAGCUCGCUGGGACGUUACUGACGCUGAGACACGAAAGCGUGGGUAGCAAACAGG